rnacentral:rRNA from 1 species
UACGUAGGGUGCAAGCGUUGUCCGGAAUUAUUGGGCGUAAAGAGCUCGUAGGCGGUUUGUCGCGUCUGCUGUGAAACCCGAGGCUCAACCUCGGGCCUGCAGUGGGUACGGGCAGACUAGAGUGGCGGUAGGGGAGAUUGGAAUUCCUGGUGUAGCGGUGGAAUGCGCAGAUAUCAGGAGGAACACCAAUGGCGAAGGCAGAUCUCUGGGCCGUAAACUGACGCUGAGGAGCGAAAGCAUGGGGAGCGAACAGG